rnacentral:rRNA from 1 species
AGACGUCUACAUUAGUACCCCCUGUAGUCCCAGCCGUAAACUAUGCGCGUUAGGUGUAUCGGUGACCACGAGUUACCGAGGUGCCGAAGGGAAACCGUGAAACGUGCCGCCUGGGAAGUACGGUCGCAAGGCUGAAACUUAAGGAAUUGGCGGGGGAGCACCACAACAGGUGGAGCCUUGCGGUUUAAUUGGACUCAACGCCGGGAAGCUCACCGGAUAGGACAGCAGAAUGAUUGCCGGGCUGAAGACCCUGCAUGACUAGCUG